AAAUCAUUAAAAGAAUGGCACUUCCUGUGUUGAACUUUAAUGGCUUUGGAUACUUCGAUGCUUUUGUGAAGGAAUCUAUAUAUAAUUUGGUAAGCAACAAGUAAAUAUCUUUUGAAUACCUAAACAUUAAAAAUUGAAUUUUGUAAAUUACAUUAUUUAGCAAGUAUGUAGCAUGAGUUGUGAAUUUAUAUUUAUCCAUAUUUUAUGUUUUAGAGAUUUUUCUUAAUUCAUACUAGUAGGAAUAUAAAUGUGAAAGCAGUAAUGAUCAACAAUGUUUAUCCAGUUCAUCUACUUUAUCUCACAGCAUAUACGAGCUAUAAUAUGACUAAAUAGGAGGACAAGGGGCAAGGGAAGGGAUGGCCGAGCUGCAGCUAGUUUGGAGUCCUUUCGGUGAACUUUGAUGGUACUGUAGGAGAUGGCCAAGCUGCAGUUGGUUUCAUUGAGCUUGGCUUGGACUCUAUUUCAUUCUCUGUCAUUGCAAUGCUAAAGAUGUUCAUUUGCGUGGAGAUUCGGCUACGGUAUUAAACUGGAUUGACUCCCAAUCCACUUGCUGGCUUAUUCAUUCUCCCAUAUUUCAGGAUUAAAUGUUUUGGACUAAACAUCUUAACUCCUUUGUUACUUCGCACAUCUAUCGUGAAGGAAACCAAGCUGCUUUUGCUGUGAAGGUUGAUUUCAUAUUGAAUCCUACUGACAGGCUCAACCCAGACUUGGCUCGUAUAUUGCUGGCUGGAUGUUGCAAAAGAUGGGCCUCUAUAGUGACAAUUUUCUGGGCUUUAUAUACUCCUUUGUUUGGAGUUUCUUUCUAACUUGCUUCUAUCUUAUUUGAAAUA